AUUGAACGCUGGCGGCAGGCUUAACACAUGCAAGUCGAGCGGGGUGAUGGUGCUUGCACUAUCACUUAGCGGCGGACGGGUGAGUAAUGCUUAGGAAUCUGCCUAUUAGUGGGGGACAACAUUUCGAAAGGAAUGCUAAUACCGCAUACGUCCUACGGGAGAAAGCAGGGGAUCUUCGGACCUUGCGCUACUAGAUGAGCCUAGGUCGGAUUAGCUAGUUGGUGGGGUAAAGGCCUACCAAGGCGACGAUGUGUAGCGGGUCUGAGAGGAUGAUCCGCCACACUGGGACUGAGACACGGCCCAGACUCCUACGGGAGGCAGCAGUGGGGAAUAUUGGACAAUGGGCGGAAGCCUGAUCCAGCCAUGCCGCGUGUGUGAAGAAGGCCUUAUGGUUGUAAAGCACUUUAAGCGAGGAGGAGGCUACUUUAGUUAAUACCUAGAGAUAGUGGACUUUACUCGCAGAAUAAGCACCGGCUAACUCUGUGCCAGCCGCCGCAGUAACAC
rnacentral:rRNA from 1 species